AUUUUCCCCAGCUGGCCUGGACUGCCUGUGCUCUGGGCUCCAGCAAUCCGGGGAUAGUUUCAGCAAGAUCAACACUGAGUAUCCCUGACAGGAUUCAGCCAAGGGCCAGUGGCAGCUUCCCAGCCUCUUUGGAGAGUGAUCUGCCUGCUCCCCGCAGUUGAGAAUGCUGCACUGCAAGUGCUACCUGGUGAGGCCCACCUCCAGCCCACUACUUCUGGGAAAAAUGACUUAAUGUCUAAGGAGAAGGCUAAUUUGGAAGGGAGUCAUACUGGUACAAGGAGGCAAAUUAGGAGACUACCAAAUCAGUAUAGAAUGAUGCAUACCCUCAAGAGAAUCUGCUUGUUGUGGUUUCUGAUUUACAUAGAUGAUGAGAUUGGCCCCAUGUCUGAAAAACAGUAUGUGGGGAAGGCCUGGAGAAGCAAUUGAACUGAAACAAAGUCAAAAGUGGGAAGUCCCCCUCUGGCAAGCAGCUCUAAGAUGACAGAGCCGGUGCCAGAAUCUAAACCUUGGGACUCUGGUUGCUGUAUAAAAAAAUAAAUAUUAGGAACAAAAAUAAAUACCCACAUCUCCAUGCUGGACAGCAGAAGAGCAAUAAGUUGCCAAUUUUUGUUUUGUUUUGUUUUGAUAGUUUUUUACUCUCUAAAUGUAAGCUCCUAUAUUUCCUGUCUUCCGUAUGUUAGAAGCUCAGUACAAACAGGAGAAAAAGAAAAAAAAAGGCUGGAUGCGCCUCGUUUGUUGUCAACAGGGAUGUUUCAAAUUAUUGUUAAACUAGAAGGGACUCAAUGCUUUAGAAACAACUCAUUACUCAAUUCAGCCACUUUUAUUUCCUAUUAGGCUGUCAUAUAGCAAAAUGUCCAACACUGCCCCAUCCCUCUCUGCUACUACUACCUUUUGACAAGACAGUCUCUUUGUUAAAGUCAACUUAAAACUGGAUACAGCUGUGGUAGUUUCAGGCCUAUCUGACAGACAAUAUUGAACUCAUUUCAUCAUCUGAAACUUUAAUACAAAAUGUCUCUUAAGGACUCUAUGAACAGAGCAAGAGCUUCUUGCCCUGUGAAAAUAGAUUAAUGCUAAGAGAGCUCCCUAAUGGCAAUAGAAACCAACAUUUAUUUUAUGCUUAUUAGGUGCCAGGUAGAGAGAGGGUCAAGUAAUUUAUAAAGCAUUAUCUCAAUUCAUCCUAAUAAUGAACCCUCCUGUGAGAGUGGUGGGUGAUAAUAUUAUCCCCAUUUCACAGGUGAGGGGGUUCUUGGAGAGGUUAAGUAACUUGCCCAAGGUCAUACAGCUGGUACAUGGUAGAGCAGGGAUCUAUUCCAAGUCUAACACAGUAUCCAUUCUCUUAAUCCCUAUACUAUAAUGUCACUUGAAUAUGGUAACAAAAGUAGUUAGAAUUGCCAGUGUAAUCAACUAGAAACAAAAUUCAAGCCUACUUGAUAGUUUAGCUCAUAAAGUCUGUCUGGUAUCACCAAAGGUGAUAGGUGAUUUGGGCUGGGGAGAAUCUAUAAAUUAUUUUCAACAAUUCAAAUAGCCUAAUGCAUGGGUUCUUAAUCUGUUUCUGUGCUACAGUCUCCUAUGACUGUCUGGUGCAGCCUAUGGACUACCUUCUCACAAUAAUGUUUCUAAAUGCAUGCUGGCUAGGCAUGGCGGCUCAUGCCUAUAAUCCUAGGAUUUUUGGGAGGCCAAGGCAAGAGGAUCACUUGAGCUCAGGAGUUUGAAACCAGGCUGAACAGCAUGGCAAGACCCCAUCUCUACAAGAAAAUACAAAAAUUAGUCAGGUGUGGUAUCAUGUGCCUAUGGUCCCAGAUACCUGGGAUGCUGAGGUGGGAGGAUUUGUUGAGCCUGGGAGUUCAAGGCUAAAGUGAGCCAUGAGGUGCCACAGCACUUCAGCCUAGGUGACAGGUCAAGCCCCUGCCUUAAAAUAAAUACAUACAUAACUAAUACAGAGUGCAUAUGCAUCCACACAUAUACAUAGAUAAUAUACAGUGAAUUAAAAUCAAAUCCUAGGCUUUGCUAGGACUGCAAAUGAAACAUUCCACUGAAAUCAUCAAAAGAGUAAAAAAAAAACUGUGAGAUAGCACAUACAUACUUGUAUAUUAGCACAUUCAGUAGGAGAAACCAGAGGGUCUGAAAACUACUAUAAUUUUAAUUUUAGUGAUAAGGAUAAAAGGUUUUCAACAUAUCUAUAACAGUGUAUGUGGUAUUUGGUAUGAGAAUGUCUCUGCUUUCUAUUGGUGACAAAAGUCAAAGGUACUGCUGUGCCACUGUGAUUUGUUGCCUACAUUUAUAAUGGAAGGAAAUGUGAAAUUUCACAAUUCAUAAUGAAAGGAAAUGCUAUUUCAGUUAGAGGUUAGAGAAAAUAAAGAUGCAGUUUUUUCCCUUCCAAGUUCACUGACAACUCCUUGAAUCCUAACCACAGACCCUUACUCCAGGUUAAGAAUCCUUAUUAAAUAACCUAAUGACUAACUAAUGGAAAUACUGAGCUUACUUAUAAUAAGACUUCACAGUCUAAAAUGUGGCACUUUUUUUUUUCUUUGCUUUGACAUGGAAUUGUAUGAAUCUAUUAUCCAGAAAAAAAAUUCACUGUGGCUAGUGGACAUCUUUGCUGCAAACCAUCACUCUGGAUGAUGUUUAAAGCAGACAGUGCUUGGUAGUUUUUUCUUUGUUGAAAGGCAACACAGACACACUACUAUCUAAGAGCACUGCACACCAGGACCACGUUGUUUCAGUACAGCACAAAACUGCUGGGAAAAGGAAACUAACGCUUUUAAACAAAAGAGUUUUCUUACAAGUCUAAAUUGCCAGUGAUCUAUCAAUAAUUAAAGAGAACAAAGACCAUUUGUAAACCUGCAGUGCAUGGCAGGGACUGAAGUCUACAAUUUUAGGUUAAGUCUACAAUUUUAAGGUUUUGGCUGAUGAUUUCAGAGAACCAGUGCCAUACCAGUUGAUACUACUGACUGGAAGACAGACACAAUGCUUCAGGUCAAUGGCUGAUUUGUAAAGAGUAAAACUGUGUUCUCAAAUUUCUGGUUAGCUUGUAAGUAAAAAUGGAUUUAGAACAUACUUCAGGAAUCAGAAUGAAAGUUUCUCCAAACAUAUGCCACAUGGGGGUUCCUGCCAGAUGGAAGCCAUGUCAUUAUCAAUAGAGGGACAAAAGACAUCAUAGUUUAGGGUUCCCAAACUGGCUACAUAUUAGAAACCUCUUUGAAGCUUCAAUACCAAUGCCCAGGUUCCACCCCAGACCAAUAAAAUCAGGAUAUCUAGAGAGCAGGUGUGGAAAUCUGUAUCUGCAAAGGUUGAGACACAUUGGUUUAGGGCAAGGAGGAGAUUAAAAAUGGCUCCAGAUUCUUUGCCAUUCUUCCCACCAAAAGAAAUCUGCUUUGCUCUGUGUUUUGCAUUGACCAGGAGAGAAUGAAAUGGAAAUAAUAUUCUGGGACUUUUGAGUACAGGCCUUAAAAGGACUGGCAUCUUCUGCUUUUCCAUUUGGAACACCAGCCUGCUGUAUUGUGGAAAAGUCCAGGCCAGGACACUACAUGAUUAGAGGUGGUAUGGAGAGAGCACUGGAGGAGAGGAGAUCAUCUUGGAUGUCCCAGCUUUAGCCAAACUCCCAGCUGAAUGCAGCUGCACAUGUGACCUCAGCCUACCCCAUCUGAAUCAGACCCACCCAGCUGAGCUCACUCAAUCCACAUAUUUGUGAGAAAUAAUAAAUUGUUUGAAGCCACU
rnacentral:antisense_RNA from 1 species